rnacentral:lncRNA from 1 species
UUGGUCAUGACCAUAUGCAAGAUAGAAGGUACUGAUUGAUGUUGAUCUUGAGGUCAAUGAUCUGGGAAGUAGGAAAAUAGCCAUAACUAUCAUAAAUACAAUGGACCUUCGAUAUUUUUCAUGACUUCCUUACCUUGGAGUAGCGAGUUCGAUUUAUAAGUACGUGAAUAUGCAUGGUGCCACAGCCAACCUACAAUCGGAU